GGGCAUGGUGGUGCAUGCCUGAAAUCUCAGCCACUUGGGAGAUUAAGGUGGGAGAAUUGCUGGAGCGCCAGAGUUCAAGUUGAACCCAGGAGUUCAGGACUAGAUAUCCAGACAUCCUAGGCAACACAGCAACACCCUGUCUCAA
rnacentral:sRNA from 1 species